rnacentral:rRNA from 1 species
GCGAUCCUACGGGAGGCAGCAGUCGGGAAUAUUGCGCAAUGGAGGAAACUCUGACGCAGUGACGCCGCGUAUAGGAAGAAGUUUUUCGGAAUGUAAACUAUUGUCGUUAGGGAAGAGAAAGGACAGUACCUAAGGAGGAAGCUCCGGCUAACUACGUGCCAGAAGCCGCGGUAAUACGUAGGGAGCGAGCGUUAUCCGGAAUUAUUGGGUGUAAAGGGUGCGUAGACGGGAAAACAAGGUAGUUGUGAAAUCCAUCGGCUUAACUGAGGAACUGCAACUAAAACUAUUUUUCUUGAG